CCUACGGGAGGCAGCAGUGGGGAAUAUUGCACAAUGGGGGAAACCCUGAUGCAGCGAUGCCGCGUGAGUGAAGAAGCGCUUCGGCGCGUAAAGCUCUUUCAUCCGGGAAGAAACACGGUUCGCGAGAGCCGCGGACGGUACCCGUCCAAGAAGCCCUGGCAAACUUCGUGCCAGCAGCCGCGGUAAUACGGAGGGGUAAAGCGUUAACCGGAUUUACUGGGUGUAAAGGGGGCGUAGACGGGAGCACAAGUAUGGAGUGAAAUGCCGUGGCUUAACCCGGGAAGUGUUUUGGAAACUGUGCAGCUGGAGUGCGGGUGCGGUGAGUGGAAUUCGUGGUGUAGCGGUGAAAUGCGUAGAUAUUAGGCGGAACACCAGUGGCGAAGGCGGCUUACUGGACUGUGACUGACGUUGAGGCACGAAAGCGUGGGGAGCAAACAGGAUUAGAUACCCGGGUAGUC
rnacentral:rRNA from 1 species